rnacentral:tRNA from 1 species
GUCAGGAUGGCCGAGUGUUCUAAGGCGCCAGACUCAAGAACCGAGGUUCUUCCCCGACAUGAGGUGUUGAGUAUUCUGGUCUCCGAAUGGAGGCGUGGGUUCGAAUCCCACUUCUGACA